UAUGCUCACGGUGGUUAGCGAGCUGUGAGUGAAACUUCCGGGGCUGAGGGAGUGGGGCUGUGGUCCAUCAGCUAGUUGGUGUGGUAACGGGGCACCAAGGCAAAGACGGGUAGGGGGCCUGAGAGGGUGACCCCCCACACGGGUACUGAGACACGGACCCGACUCCUACGGGAGGCAGCAGUAAGGGAUAUUGCGACAAUGGGCGAAAGCCUGACGCAGCAACGCCGCGUGCGGGAUGACGGCCUUCGGGUUGUAAACCGGUUUUCGGGGGGAAGAGGAAGGACGGUACCCCCGGUAAUAAGUCUCGGCUAACUACGUGCCAGCAGCCGUGGUAAAACGUAGGAGGCAAACGUUAUCCGGAUUUACUGGGUGUAAAGCGCGUGCAGGCGGUUUCGUAAGUCGUGUGUGAAAGCGCUCAGGCUCAACCGGGCGAGGUCAUGCGAAAUUGCGGAACUGGAGGCAGGUAGAGGCGUGUGGAAUUCCGGGUGUAGUGGUGAAAUGCGUAGAUAUCCGGAGGAACACCAGUGGUGAAGGCGACACGCUGGGCCUGACCUGACGCUAAGGCGCGAAAGCAUGGGGAGCGAACGGGAUUAGAAACCCCGGUAGUCCAUGCCGUAAACGAUGCGUACUAGCUGUUGCGGUGUCAAAACUGCAGUGCCGGAGCCAACGUGAUAAGUACGCCACGUGGGGACUACGGCCGCAAGGCUAAAACUCGAAGGAAUUGACGGGGGCCCGCACAAGCAGCGGAGCAUGUGGUUUAAUUCGAGGCUACACGAAGAACCUUACCUGGGCAUGACAUCGCGGUAGUAGGGAAGCGAAAGCGGACCGACCUUCGGGAGCCGUGACAGGUGCUGCAUGGCUGUCGUCAGCUCGUGUCGUGAGAUGUUCGCUUAAGUCCGGUAACGAGCGCAACCCUCGUCGUUAGUUACAAGUGUCUAACGAGCCUGCCCGUUGAACGCGGGAGG
rnacentral:rRNA from 1 species